GGAGCAUCAUAAUCAUAGCUGGUAGUGAUGAAUGGCCCACCCGCAGUGCGUCCAAAGUUCGUGCCCCCAUGGUACAUGUAAUAGUUAACAAAAGAUCCUCCUCUUUGUAUAAAUUGGGCAACAGCAAAUGCCAAAUCCUGAACUGGUCUCUGAUGAAGGGGACCGCCAAAUUCCGAGAACCAUCCACUCCAAGCUUCAGUCCAAAUUGCAGGUUUGUAUGGUUUGUUUGGGAAGAAAUUAUCACAGUAGAAACCAUUGCAUGUGUUGAUCACAGGAUCUGGUGCAUCUUCUUCC
rnacentral:misc_RNA from 1 species